rnacentral:tRNA from 1 species
AUUAUUAUAGUGUAAAUUAGGCACAGCUAAUUUCCAAUUAGAAAGUAGAUAGUAAUA